GACGAACGCUGGCGGCGUGCCUAAUACAUGCAAGUAGGACGCAGUUGCGAACGGGUGAGUAACGCGUAGGUAACUACCUAUUAGAGGGGGAUAACUAUUGGAAACGAUAGCUAAUACCGCAUACUAGUAGCUGGACCUGCGUUGUAUUAGCUAGUAGGUAGGGUAAUGGCCUACCUAGGCAACGGUACAUAGCCGACCUUGGAGGGUGGUCGGCCACAAUGGGACUGGGACACGGGCCCGACGUCCACGGGAGGCAGCAGGAGGGAAUCGUCGGCAAUGGGGGGAACCCUGACCGAGCAACUCCGCGUGAGUGAAGAAGGGUUUCGGAUCGUAAAGCUCUGUUGUUAAGGAAGCGGUACUUAACCAGAAAGGGACGGCUAACUACGUGCCAGCAGCCGCGGUAAUUC
rnacentral:rRNA from 1 species